rnacentral:rRNA from 1 species
GAUGAACGCUGGCGGCGUGCCUAAUACAUGCAAGUCGAGCGAACGGACGAGAAGCUUGCUUCUCUGAUGUUAGCGGCGGACGGGUGAGUAACACGUGGAUAACCUACCUAUAAGACUGGGAUAACUUCGGGAAACCGGAGCUAAUACCGGAUGAUAUUUUGAACCGCAUGGUUCAAAAGUGAAAGACGGUCUUGCUGUCACUUAUAGAUGGAUCCGCGCUGCAUUAGCUAGUUGGUAAGGUAAUGGCUUACCAAGGCAACGAUGCAUAGCCGACCUGAGAGGGUGAUCGGCCACACUGGAACUGAGACACGGUCCAGACUCCUACGGGAGGCAGCAAUAGGGAAUCUUCCGCAAUGGGCGAAAGCCUGACGGAGCAACGCCGCGUGAGUGAUGAAGGUCUUCGGAUCGUAAAACUCUGUUAUUAGGGAAGAACAUAUGUGUAAGUAACUGUGCACAUCUUGACGGUACCUAAUCAGAAAGCCACGGCUAACUACGUG